CGAAUGCAUCCUCCCAACGAACCAAGUUUGGAUCCAUAGAUAUUUUCUGGUUGGCGGAUUGACUUUGAGCAAAAAAGUUCACGUCCCUGAAAUGCCGAACCAGUUAGGGCUGCAAACAUACAAUUAGGCUUCAAAAGUGUUCCUUGGGACGAAUCAUUCAACUAGUUGAGUUUUCGUUUUCGUUCCUUGUUCCUGUGCGUACAACUGCCUGAGAGGCGCUCGCGCAUCACAGUGGAACCCAAUUCUCGGGCCUUUUUCGUCACAUCUCUCGAUGGUUGCACAGUACAACAACCACAUAGAUGGGACAUGCUGGUGCGGUUUCAAACGAUGUAUUCUGUUUGUGCUUUUGACCACUAGUUAGGAGAAAUCAUUUGAACCCUUUCCAAUUCUGUUCCAGCAUUUAUAUAGCAGAAUGUCGGUUGAACGACAAGUAGGAGCUCUCCAGCCAAAAUGAAUGCAACAUCUUUCAUUUGCAGAUAGCCAUUCCUCAUAUUAUUUUAUUAUUUGCCUUACUGACGACGCAAAGAGGUCCCA
rnacentral:sRNA from 2 species